UACGAAGGGGGCUAGCGUUGCUCGGAAUCACUGGGCGUAAAGGGUGCGUAGGCGGGUCUUUUAAGUCAGGGGUGAAAUCCUGGAGCUCAACUCCAGAACUGCCUUUGAUACUGAGAGUCUUGAGUACGGGAGAGGUGAGUGGAACUGCGAGUGUAGAGGUGAAAUUCGUAGAUAUUCGCAAGAACACCAGUGGCGAAGGCGACUUUCUGGUCUGUAACUGACGCUGAGGCGCGAAAAGCGUGGGGGAGCGAACGGG
rnacentral:rRNA from 1 species